CGCCGUUCUCAGGGCGGGGUGGAAGUCCCUACCGGCGGUAUGCAGUUUCGAUUGCGAGCCCGCGAGCGCCUUCCAUAAGGAAGGGUCAGCAGAUCAGGUGAGAUGCCUGAGCCGACGGUCAUAGUCCGGAUGAAAGAGAACGUGC
rnacentral:ncRNA from 2 species